GAUCCUGGCUCAGGAUGAACGCUAGCUACAGGCUUAACACAUGCAAGUCGAGGGGCAGCAUGGUCUUAGCUUGCUAAGGCCGAUGGCGACCGGCGCACGGGUGAGUAACACGUAUCCAACCUGCCGUCUACUCUUGGACAGCCUUCUGAAAGGAAGAUUAAUACAAGAUGGCAUCAUGAGUUCACAUGUUCACAUGAUUAAAGGUAUUCCGGUAGACGAUGUGG
rnacentral:rRNA from 1 species